AUUGAACGCUGGCGGCAUGCCUUACACAUGCAAGUCGAACGGCAGCACGGGGCAACCUGGUGGCGAGUGGCGAACGGGUGAGUAAUGCAUCGGAACGUGCCAUUGAGUGGGGGAUAACGUAGCGAAAGUUGCGCUAAUACCGCAUAUUCUGUGAGCAGGAAAGCAGGGGACCGCAAGGCCUUGCGCUCUUUGAGCGGCCGAUGUCAGAUUAGCUAGUUGGUGAGGUAACGGCUUACCAAGGCGACGAUCUGUAGCGGGUCUGAGAGGAUGAUCCGCCACACUGGAACUGAGACACGGUCCAGACUCCUACGGAGGCAGCAGUGGGGAAUUUUGGACAAUGGGCGCAAGCCUGAUCCAGCCAUGCCGCGUGAGUGAAGAAGGCCUUC
rnacentral:rRNA from 1 species